rnacentral:rRNA from 1 species
AACGCUGGCGGCGUGCCUAAUACAUGCAAGUCGAACGGACGAGUAAGAGCUUGCUCUUAUGAGUUAGUGGCGCACGGGUGAGUAAUGUAUAGCUAAUCUGCCCUACACUAGAGGACAACAGUUGGAAACGACUGCUAAUACUCUAUACUCCUCUCUAGCAUAAGUUAGAUAGGGAAAGUUUUUCGGUGUAGGAUGAGGCUAUAUUGUAUCAGCUAGUUGGUGAGGUAAUGGCUCACCAAGGCUAUGACGCAUAACUGGUCUGAGAGGAUGAUCAGUCACACUGGAACUGAGACACGGUCCAGACCUCCUACGGGAGGCAGCAGUAGGGAAUAUUGCUCAAUGGGGGAAACCCUGAAGCAGCAACGCCGCGUGGAGGAUGACACUUUUCGGAGCGUAAACUCCUUUUGUUAUGGGAAGAACAAUAGACGUACCUAACGAAUAA